GUCUGAGAUCCCACCAUUGACCAUAUUACUUCUUUCUUGGCCCACGACCAGCCUAGAGUCCAUCCUGGUGAAUUGAUAUGGCGGUACAUCUGAAAAUUGUUCAUUGUCACAACAGCCUGUUACAAUUAAAAAAGAUCUAAGGGGAUGGAUGAAAAAGGUGCUGCAUGAUUUACUAAACAUGUAUCGGUUUCAGAUGAAUUUAUAAGGUGCCAAGUAAUGGAAAUGAAUCAUGUUUCACAAUCUUACGACAUAUCCAUCCGGCGUCCAAGAGACUACAUCCCAUUUGAUUGUUAUGUUUCCAUUUGGAUCCAAUGGAUCGUAUGCCCCUGACGAAGAUCAACAGAAGCAAUAACAAAUUCAUAAGCUACAACACACCAAUAACAAGACUAAGAAAAUGGAAGAUCUUUCUUCUAGCAGUAAACAAGUACGUACCAGUUGAACAGAAAGCUGUGAAGAUCAGAAGUGCUAAGAGUACAAUCUUUGGCUGUCGAGGCAAGUAACAUUCCCAUUGAAAGAGAAUUUUGUGUAAUGGAUCAUUGUAGGUAUUAAAUUCCAUGGCUUGAAAGCUUUUGGAGAAUCAAAAGCUUCAACUAACUUAAAACUCAGAGGAUUCAACUGUUCUUUGCUGCUGGCAUGGAGUUGGAGAAAUUGAGAAAUGAAGAGACCAAUAUAGUUCAAGAGAAUGCAAGAAGAUGUCUCACCUCUCACCUACUGUAUUUCUGGAUCUUGAAGCAAAGAUUUAGAGAGGAAUGAUGCAAAAGUGGUGAGAAGACUUUUCAACUGUCAGUGUUCUCACACCAGAGGCAGGACCUGAUUUCAACUGCUUCAAAAUCAAGUUUUCCUCCCAUUGAACUGCACUGAAUCAGAUCAUCUUUUUGGAAUAUGAAGCUUGAGUAUCAUUUCCAUUACUCUGUUUGGAAUAUGAACAGACAAGUAUCAUCCUCUAGGUUAGGAAGGACUAAGGAGACAUACUUUGGGAACAGUAUUUUUAAAUGAGAUAUCUUAUACAUCAAUUUUAUAUUUUUUUUAAAAAAAACAUUAACUAUUGAUUUUUUCAAGGUUUUAAAUAUAUUUAUGAAAUUUUUGAAUAGUUGUUUUUAGGUUUAAAUACUACUUUGAUCAUGUCAUAUUCAUUUUGAUCAAUUUUAUUUUAACUUUUGUUUAUUUUAGUUCAUGUACUUUUAUAAUAUUCAUGUUGGUCAUUGUAAUUUAAAGAGUGAUCAUUUUGAUUCAUUUAUUUUCAUUUCAUUAUAUUUCA